CUCGCCAUUAGCAAGUGCUUGUCGGGAGGGAGGCAGUAGUAGCUGCUGCUGGUCGGGCAAGAGGUAUUUCAAGUUUUGGUCGUACGCGUUCAGGUGGGGUGCAGUCAUGUUAUUUAUUUGCAGCGGGGCUAGCAAUUUUCAUGUGAUAGCGUAGGUCAGCAGCCAGGGGGGUCCCAGAUUCAUGCAGUACCUCUUCAUUCUGGAGUGUGAUAUCGUCUCCAUGUGCAUGUUUUUCUGCUCCUGAUUUUGUACUAUAAUCUUCAUUCUGUUUUUGUUGUGCACGGUUACUUCUUAGGCCUGUGUAAUGGAGCAGGUUUUGUGGUGAUUUUUCUUUGCGAUUCAGGCUAAAUGGAUGGACAUGAAAAAAUUCAGGCGGUUUUUUGUUAUUGUACUUCUUCAGAAUGCAUUUUUUCAGUUUCAGGCUGUUUUUUUGCAUCAACAAUGGUUGAUUGUUGUAGCUCAUUUUUUCUGUAUGUUGCAAUCAGGCUAAAUCAGGCGGUUUUUCUCCAAACAAAGUCUAGUGUAGCUAUGAUUAUUUUUUCUAUCUGCAGUUUCAUUUGAUCUUUUACUUCUGCAUUCUUCAGUUUAUAUGUUAUGAGUCUUCACUCGAUGCAAUCGUUUAUAUUUGUAUAAUAAUUUUCAUUUAGUUUCUUAUAGUUCCCAGUUUAUUUUCCAAGUUAGUCAGCAGUCUUUGGUUUCAUGUUGGUGUACUUAGUUCCUACUUCUGCAGUUCCUAUUUGCCACAAAGUCGUGCAUGGACACAUGAUGAACUUGUAGUUCAUGGUGUUAUUCAUGCCACUAAUCGUAUCAACUGGACAUGGUGAUUUAAUUUGCACGCUAUAUAAGCCAUUUUUUGGGUGUUGAAGUUCCUUCCUGUUUACAUUUUUCUAGCCUAGUACUCCCUCCGUUCCGAAUUACUUGUCGCACGUAUGGAUGUAUCUAGAUGUAUUUCAGUUCUAGAUACAUCCAUUUCAGUGACGAGUAAUUUGGGACGGAGGGAGUACUUGAUACUAAUUUUUGUUUUAUUCUAUGUAGUGCUUGAGGCUAAUUUCUCUCAGAAGCCCAUUUCUGACUGGAUGUCUUCUGUUACUCAAAGUGUACAUGAUAUCCUUCUUCAAAGUUAACUACCAUUCCUGGGAUAUUUUUAUACCUCUAUAGUUUAUUGAUUAAAAACCAAGAAUAUGCAGAUGGUUGUAAUUUAGUCUAAGAUCCUGGUGCUCACUAAAUUUCUCUAUCAAUUAAUCAAUCAGCCAAGAGAAACACACAGUAGCAGAUUGUUGUACCGUCUUCAACACACACGUACGGGUAAUGCCUAGAGUACAAAAAUAAUAUUAUUCAGUCAUCUGUUGUAGCGUAGAAUUGUUCUUUGUAGUUCAGUUUUCAGUUUUGUCAGUCAUGCCACAUUUAAUUUAUCAUUAAGAUUCAUUUUCCAGUUUUCAGAUUGGUGUGUUAUUUUUAGUUAAUUAGUAUUAUUAUAGCUUAUUCUUAUAGGUUUGUAUUUCAGCUUUUUUUCAGUUUCAGUCUGUAAUCAUGAGUGUGGUACUACAUUAUUUAUUACAUAGUUCUCUUUAUUUUUAUUUUUCAGCAAGCAUCUCAUGUAUUUUCUUAGUAUUUCAUUAUUGCCACUGUGUACUGGUCAUCAGUUAUAUGUGGUUAUGGUUUAGGGGUUCAUUUUCUAAUCAAUAGUUCAUAGUUUUUUCAUGGUUUAGUUAAUAGUUUUCAAUUUUUUCAGGUUUCAGUGUAUUGUUUUCAGUGUUAUAUAUUCAUUUUGUGUUCAGUCUUGCAUGAUUAUUUACAGUGACAUCAGUGUUUCAUCAAUCAUCAGUUUUGAUAUUUUGCUUUAGUUCUUAGCAUGAGUUUACAGAUUUCUAGUUUAGUAUAGUUCAUCAGUUAGGUUUUAGUUUUUAAACAGGGAGUGACAUCAUUUGUUUAGUGUUCAUAGGUUUUCUGUUAUGUUUCAGUUUUCAAUCGUGUAGUUAUUUCUGUAAGUAGUUUCAGAGUGUUAGGUGUCAUUUUUUUUAGUUCCAUCAGUUAGUUUCAUUCUUCAUUAGUUUCUUCAUUUCUUAGUCUCAGUUAUCAGUUCUUAGUCUUCAGAGUUAGUUCUCGGUACCCUUCUAAGGAUCAAUAUCUUUUAGUUAUGUUAAAGUUCCUCUGUAGGUCGAGCUGCAUGGAACCUCUUAUCUUUAGCCCUUCAACAUUGCUUUGAGAAAUUACCAUUCAAGAUCACGGGGACGGGCUGGCUGGAAUACAAUUGGGAACAUGGAGCAUUACCACUGUUGUGUAUAAGAAUUUUAAGGACGGCGAAAUCAAAUUUAAGAAGGGGUGGAUGGAGUUUGUGAUGAGGAAGACAAUGCUGUACUAAUCACUUUCAGGAGCAGCACAUUCGUGGAGUUCAAAAUGAUAAUGAUCAUCAACAAGAGAGUUGCUCGUGUUUAUUCAAGAAGGCGAUGAUGUGCUUUUCCUGAAGUAUAAAUCGUUCGCUCUGCGCAAUUUUUAUUUUGUUAUAUUUGUUGUGUUUGCUUCAAGCUACUGGAACCUUUUUAUGAGCCAUCUAUUUUCAGUAUCUUUUUCUUCAGUUAGCUUUCAUGUAUGUAGUGCCAAUCAAUCGCCUAGCUAUGCUCAAUAGCAUCUGUAUUUUCCCAAUCUGUACUAGUAUUUUUUGUUUGAACCGAAAUCUGUACUAGUAUCAUCAGUUAUUGAUUCUAUUUUUUUAAGUUUUA